UAUAAGCAUUUAGGUUAUUCCUAGAAUUUUAUACGUACAUGUGCAAUUCUUUUGGGGGGAGGAUAAAUUCAAAGUGUAGCCCACGUAAAUUGGGGGCAAUCCCACCAGGUUGUCCUAACAAAGGCUCUAGGAACUUAUUUUCACCACAGACUUAUAAGAAGGCCUACUUUUAUAAUCAAAAAAAUAUUUUUAAGGAUAAUUUGGUAGUUCGUGUCCAACUUUUACAAUUCCACUAAGGCAAUUACACAAGUGUACAAAUAUACAGGCAUAAGGAUGAUCUUUGCAGAGACAGUGAAGAGCUGGAAACCAACCAAACACCCCACAAAAGAUAAAAAUUCCAGGAGCCUCUGUCCUGUGUGCAGGGUAAGGAUGGUUAGAUGUGUCAGGAGAGCCCCAGGGUAGGGAGGGGGUGUUUAAGCCCAUGCACCUUACCCUCGCUGCGCUCAGCUUCACAGAAUCCCAGCGCCUCUGGGUCUCUCCCUGAACACGCCCAGUACCCUCUAUGCUGAGAUGGGGGCAGGGGGCCAACCCAGUGUAGAUCCCACACCAGCCAUCAGGGGCCACAGUUUGGUGACUUGUUGGGUGGGCUCAGGACUGGGCAGAUGAAGCCUGGGCAGGGGUUCAAUCCAGCUCCGGGAACUGUGGAUUCGCAGAGCUGCAGAGGCCCCUGUGGUGUGUGAACAGAGGGUCGGGCUCACCUGCGGUAGGAGCACCACCUGUCCUAUUUCCACGGUCCCUUCCUCGGGGUUUGCCGCAGCAACACGGCAGGGGAAGUGGUGAAAGCACUCUGCAAACCCAAAUCCACUAGGAGUAGAGUCCAUACAGCUUGCAGAAGCCUCCCCGCUCUGCCUUGCACGUCCUGCCUCGCGUACAACCGUGCACUGCAAAUAGUGUUGGGCAGGCACAAGUUUUUUUGUAAUUUUAAAAAAGAAAGGAAGUAGGAAAAAUGCAACAGGCACAUAAAGAAAGGCCUGACCCUAAGAAUAAAUAAAUGAAGAACACUCUCAUUAGUUAGUCUAUGAAGUUCUACCUUAAAAUAUCUGGGGAGAGAGGGUGUUAGGAACUUAAAUAAUUUGUCUUUAUCUCCCAUCACAUUGCAAGGCCUAGCGGAGGAGCAAACCAGGACUUCCUCAGGUACCUGGGCCUCACCUGCCCCAGAGAAUGAAGAGACCAGUCUCACCGUGCAGUCUGGGCAAGACACCAGGGUGGUGAGGCUAUCUGGGCAUCAUGUUCUCCUGAGAUGCACAGGGAACGGAGUGGAUCUGGGCUUCAUUCUCUAAACUUCCAGGAGAAAAACUAUCUGCUGCCCAGAGGGGCCUUGGUGACCCUGGGGGACCUGGAGGGGCCUGCGGGGCUGGACUGACUUGCUCCAGGACCUCACUGCUAGGACAGCAGCCCCUGGUCCUCACCCCCAGGGUGCUCCUUCUGGUCCUCCAGCACAGGUCCCAGUUUGCCAGGCCAUGUUCAGCAAACCUACAGAAAGCUGACUGGGAGAACUACAGACCACAGAAGGAAAAGGAAACCGCAAAACCCACUUGCCAGCUGAUCCCCUUCUAGUUCAUAUUUUACGGCACAUCUUAAAGGAGUCGGCACGAACUAGAGACGCCUAGAAUGUGGUCCAAACACCAGGCGCUUCAAGAGAGGAGCAGUCGAAGAGCUGAAACAGGAUCUCGAGGGUGACAGCUGCAGCUCUGGCAGUUACCUUGAGCCACUCAGCUCAGAAGCAGCGGGCAGCACUGAGCCCUGGAGGCCAGGUGGGCUCAGGAUCUGGCAACUUCCUUACUCCUCACCUGUGCCUGGUCCAGGCCUCUCCAGGGUCCCAGGGGACUUGGUGGAUGCUCAGUCACUGCUGUACCGUUGUCAUGACAGCAGCUGGAGGAAAGGUAACGUGUGACUCUGAGUAUGACCUUAGGCCACCUGCCUUGCCCCUUCAGCUGGCUGAGGGCUCUGGUGGGGCCUAACAAUGUUUUAUAAGGUAGCUGAAUAAACAGCUGAAACCCUGAUUAAAGAAGUAAGAGCCCCAAACACAAAACCUUUCAAGGUAACAAUAUAGGACAGGGCUCCUUCACUUACUCUUUCAAUGAUUUGUUUGUCACCUACUGUUAACGAACCAAACUUGGGUCCACUUUCCCUUGCACGGUAAAGCCAAUCUACUGACACUGGUCUGUGAUGAAGGAAAGUGCAGCAUUUAUUGCAGGGUGCCAAACAACUAGUCUAGGCAGCUAGUGCUUAAAAAACCCAAACUCCCCAAAGGCUUUCAGGGAAAGGAUUUUAAAGACAGGGUGAGGGAGAAGGUUGAGGGGUGUGUGGUCAGCUCAUGGACAUUCUUCUGAUUGGUUGGUGCUGAGGUAAUUGGGAGUCAACAUCAUCAACCUUCUGGUUCCUAUAGGUCUAGGGUCUAUGUGCUGGUAGUCAGCAUAGAGUUAACUUCUUCCCCCUGGUGAGGUUUUCAAUGUCUGCAAAACAGCUCAAAGGACAUGGCUCAGAAUACUAUCUAUAGCCCUUGAGAAGGAACUAAAGUUCCCUGACUGUUUAAUGGCUAAACUAUUAUUAUUUUGUCUUGCUUGACUGUUUUCCUUUGUUUCUGCAUUUUCUCACUUCUCUGAUUAAAUUUAUUCUUUGGAACUCGGGGAAGGCCUGGGAGCCUAAAGUUUUACUACAAACAAGAGGCAGGUGGAGGACAUGGAGGGGGGGGUCUGUACCAGGAAGGCCCCAUAGGGUCCUGCUUGGUUACAUUACUAUGUGCUAAGCAUUUUUCUAGAUACAGCAGUGAACAAAGCACAAGAGAUCUCAGCCUCAUGGAUCUCAAAUCCCUGUCCUUGUGGAGCAACACAGACAACACACAAGUAAGUAUGACGACAAUGAACCAACACUAGGAUGAGAAAGACCUUGUGAUGGAAGGUGUCGGGAGGGGUGACCUUAGAGAGGCCAGGGGUCUCUGAAAAGAAAACCUCUCAGUGGGGCCCCAAAUGGUGAGGGUGAGCCCUCAUUGAGGGGACCCCCAUUCACGUCAAAGUGGGGGAGCCCACAGUUGGGGUGCUGAGUUCAGGGAGGGAAUGGCUGGGCUUUCAGGCUCCGGGACACAGGGCUGCUAUUCUGGUGGGUCAGAAGAGACCAGCUGGGGCAGAGAGUGGAGUCCCAGGCAGCUGCUGUUCCUCCUGCCUCCAGCCUGGGAGCCAGGAGGUGGGCCUGGUCUUUGCCCUCACCUUGGGGAAGGAUGAACCCCUCUACCUGCUGGGGCCACCACCUUGGGCAGGUGCAAACAUUGUUUUCAGGCAAGAGCAACAAAGAGUGAGCUACCCCUGACAUAUUCAGGGAAAUCAGCUAUUGGAUUUUAAUCCAAAUAUCUUCCGAGGUGGAGGCGGGGCACAGAAAGGCUUGGGUGAGCCUGGCCACCUCCUGCCACGCCACGUGUCCAGCUCAGUAGCGGAGCAGAAGGGCACUGGGAGCUGAAUGAGUUGCCCUGAGGUGUGAACUCAAGUUACUCAGCACUGCUCUGUGGGGGUUGAACUCAAAUGUUUUGCCAAAACAACUGCAGAAGAAUAAAUAAACAAAAGGAAGGAAAGUAGAAAGGGAUACAACCCUCUUAAUAAUCCAAUUAAAAUGAGAACCUAAUCUGCCUACUUUCUUUUUUUUUGAAUUUUAUUUUAUUUAUUUUUUUAUACAGCAGGUUCUUAUUCGUUACCCAUUUUAUACAUAUUAGUGUAUAUAUGUCAAUCCCAAUCUCCCAGUUCAUCCCACCACCACCCCCCCGCCACUUUCCCCCCUUUAAUCUGCCUACUUUCUAAAGCCAUUGCUUUAGAACCAGGCCACGUGCUCAGCACUGCCCUGUGGUUUGGCGAGGAGUGUUUAGCACACGCUGCAGCAAGGCAGCCCAGGGGAAAUAUUUGGAAGAGACUUACAGGAAGAGAGGUGAUUACUGGGAAGCAUGGUGGUAGGACCUCCCCCACUCCCUUCCAAAACAUUUCUUGAGCACCACUUACGUGCUGGCACCAGUACCACGGGGACAACGAUGAACAGACUGCCCGGGCCCUCAUUCUGCCCACAGCACGUGGAGGCGCAGGCCUUUAAGGUGACUUGCUGGCAAUGGGCGGGGCUGAGACUUGCUUCUAGGCUGUCAGAGUCCAAACCCACUGUGUUGGGAAAAAGACCAAGGUUUGGAUGGCCAGCUCUUGGCAGCCUGAAAAGGUGUGUCUGCGGUUUCCUGCUCUCCUCCAUCCUGUUUAAAUGCCCUUCUUUCUCACCACUCCUCCUCUUCCCAGCAGAGGCCCCACCUAAGAAGGAGGCUUUUCUCCCUGUGUGCCAGGAAAGGGCUCACUUGAUUUCUUCCAGGUCCAAAGGGGAAACUGGCCCUUCAAAAAAAUUAUCCGAGCCGCUACAUGAUCUCCAGGAGCUCGCUUGAAUGGGUGUAUGUAUGUAUCUGUUGAGCUACCUAUGGCUCUGAACCUCCUUUUGGCCAUUUUUCAAUGGGCGGUUGGAACAACUUGCUUCCCAGUGUGAGCACCUGCCCCAGUGAUUGACAGACGCCAAGGGAAGGACCACAUCCAUCUCAAAGAACAUCAGUCAGGUCUGCCCACCUAGCAGUUUCAAGUUGGAAGGAGGCUGGGGACUGGUAACAUGGCCAUAUGGGGAGAAGGUGCAGUCUCUCCAACUCUGCACACUAGGUGUGCUUGCUUGCCCUGCAGACCAGCUCACACCUGGCAGCUCUUAUUCCCUCUCCUAAGAAGUGAGAUGAAGCACAGCUGAAUUCAGAACUAGCUCCAAAGAGCUGCUCUGAGUGACUCUUGCAGAGAAAAGAGUAAGCUUCCAUGCAUUUGCCAGGCUGGAGGGCACAUCACCCGUUGCAAUCGCCUGAUGCUUCUCACUUGGGGCUUUUAGGGGCUCAUGGAGUUACAAAGCAAUUAGUCUUAUCUCCCUCUGUGGACUUCCCUCCUCCUUCCCCUGCCCAGAGACGGAGGAGUCUUGGACUUGGGGACGACACUGACCCUUGGCUAGGCUGUGCCUGUGCUGACAGAGAUGGAGCCAAGACUCAGCAGCUGUGAGUGGAGAGAGAGCCGAAGCUUCAAGGCAAGGGUCUUAUGCAAAGGAUCUAACCAUCUUUUAUCUGGUGGGACUGUCGACAUUUCUGUUUAUAACUGAUGCAUUUGUACAACCGGGACACACUUUAGAGGGGGAAACACCCUUUAUCCAAAUGUCCAAGUACUAUAGAAAAAUGAACAUCUUACUUUUCACAAUACCAAACAAGAUUUGAUUUUCUUUUCAUAGCACAUGGAUUUUAUUUUGAUGGGCUAGUCUGGUAAAUCCUAUAAU